UCCGGAGGCCGCGGGAUGUGUUCAAGAUUUGAAGAUUUUCUUUACAUAAAACCUCAAGAUUAGGAUUUAUUGUAUUUAUUCCAGAAAUGGGGACAGAAUUCCCGAAUGUUCAAGCCGUUGAAUGUAUAUUAAGUUCCGUAAAUUGAUCUUGUGAAGUACGAUCAUCUUGGCUUUGCCAUUUUAAGAAAUUUCCUCCAGAAAUUCAUUCAAGCAUUUGGUUUUACAGUUCCUCAGGUAUCCCCUCCUACAAACGUUUAACUAUUAAACACAAAUCCCCUCAGGUAUCCCCUCCUACAAACGUUUAACUAUUAAACACAAAUCCCCUCAGGUAUCCCCUCCUACAAACGUUUAACUAUUAAACACAAAUCCCCUCAGGUAUCCCCUCCUACAAACGUUUAACUAUUAAACACAAAUCCUAAUUGUUUCAUACUGCUUAUUAAUUUCACCAAUCUUGCAGCGGUGCAUUUAAGUUCAGUGACUCAGACAUCAGAAUGUUAAAUGGCAAAACCUGCUAGCUUCAACAUUCCUCCCCAACCACUCCCCCCCACCCCCCGGCUCUACAAUAAUUACAGUAAAGUAUCUUGCAAAUAGAGCCCAAGUUGCACCAGUUGGUCCACGAUUGUGGAAAAUGUGGA